UCUUGGUCCCCAGCUCCUGAGACAGGAGCUACUAAGACCCGUGGUAUCCUCGCACCAGUUUCUCGUCUUCCAACAACACACCCAGCAUCGCUCUGCUAUCCUGAUGUGAAAGGCCUUCUGUGCACAGCCUUGAAUACUGGGACAGCUUAGUUAUCACAGCACUAUGGACCUGCCACAGAGGAUGUUAUGAGAGUUUUUUAAUAUGCUCUUCAAGGAGCCAGGAGCAGGGGAUAUUCCAAGGAAGGUGCACAUUAUCAGAAGAAUCUUUGUGUUAUCCUGAGUUUUGUGAGCCUAUACCAUGUCACUUUGUCAGACAAUAUUGUAUUUAAAUUUUAAAACUCUUGCUGCUAUAAAGGGAUGUCACCGAAGCUGUGAUGUUU